AGAGAGGGAGAGGGUGAGAGAGAGAGGCAGGCAGAAAGUGAGAGGGUGGGGAAAGGGAGGGGGGGAGAGAGAGAGAAAGAGAGAGGGAGAGAGUGUGAAGCAGGCAGAUAGAGAAGGAGAGGGGCAGCCAGGGAGAGAGAGGGUUGGGGGAAGAGAGGGAGGGAGGAAGAGAGGGAGAGAGAGACAGAGUCUUGUUCACAGGACAGAGCGGAGAAAACACCAGGGAAGCAGCUUCAGCCCCAGGAAGUCACUGAGUGGAGAGAAGGGUGUGGGUGAGAGAAGAGACCUUGGGCGAAGGUGUGGAUGAAGAGAACCUCUCCAGGAAAAGCAGAGCAUCUUGGCCACUGGCCUCACAUCCUGCCACCUCUUGUCCCCUUGUAUUACCUAAGUCUGAGAUUUUACUCAGUGAAUUUCAAUAUUUUCUUCAUCAAAACCAUGACAAUGGCGAGGCAUAAACAGACCUACACUACGUUUCAAAUAUAGCUGGAGAACUUUAGGAACGUUUCAUCAAGCCGUUUAAAAAGGUAAACACUAAAGAUUCUCGAUGUGGUUGUUGUUUGGUUUUUGGCUGGCCUGUGCAUCAGUACAGUUAGUUAAAAUAAGUAAGAUUCAGCCCAAACCCCAAUGCCUGGGUCCCUCCCUUAAUAAUCCAGGUCUCAGGCUUACUGUGAGAGGAGGAGGCGGCAGGAAGAAAGAUUUGCAGCAGGGACCCUCCCCACUUAUAGCCCCUUCCACUGGGCCAGGGAGGCUCCUGCUGCUGGGCUCGCCCUGACGGUGGACUUGAGAAAUGGAAGGGAAGACCGAGGCGCUUCUGGCUCAUCCUCCCUCAACAAGAAACUCCGUGAACCAAGACCUGAGUGGUUUAUUGUUGGUUUGCCGGUUCAUUUGUGUGUGUGUGUGUGUGCGCGCGCCUGGAGUCAUUCUGAAACAUUCUGGUUUUAGAAGUUUUACUUAUUAUGCUUAAUUGUGUUUCCUAUAUUUUAAUUUCUCCUACUCAUUAUGAUAAAAUACAACUCCAAUAGGCUGUAUUUUGUAGGAUAUUUUCUGUAAAUGCCAUAGUGCAAACUUUAUAAACCAUUUACAGAUGUGAAAAUAUAAAUGGUAGAACUGGGUCCCUGGAGGAGCAAGUUCAAAAUGCGUUUAGCUGAUUGUGAGGAGUGGGUGUGUCAGCGUUCCACCAGGGACGUGGCACAGUGCCAGGGAGGUGGCCACCGCCGGUGGGUCCCAGCUCAGCUCCCUGUGCGGGUCACAGGGCAACUGCACGAGGCCAAGUGUGGAAACAAAAAUAAAUUCUGUAUGUGUGUGUGUGCAUGUGGAGGGCUGUAGUCAUCACUAAAUGUAAACCCUUAAUUCUCAAUCACAAAGCAGCACACUGAAGGUGGUGUUAUUAAUGACCGAGGAGCAGGCAUGAAGCGUGGGAAAGCUUCUGAGUCAGGCUUUGUCCUGAUUUUGAGGAGCAAGCGUGAAGCGUGGGAAAGCUUCUGAGUCGGGCUCUGUCCUUGCAGUUGAUAAUCUGUGCAUCUCCACUGAGCAGUCCAACCACCCGUUCCUCAGUUCUCACAUCCGUGAAAUGGGUCUAAGCACCUCUUCCUCCUUUUCCUCACGAAGACGACAGUCUGUGCAGAAGCAUUUUGUCCACUGUCGGGCACCCCACAAGCCUGUAACGUUUCAGCACAAGCAGGGACCACCACAGAUCUGGGGAAGGCUCUGGGGCAGGCACGCAAUCCCCGUGGCCUGGGCGGCGCUUGCUGGAGUCCCAGCAGACCCUGUGCGCCGGAGGGACCCGCACCUGGGAAACCCCAGGCCAUCGCUUCUUCUCCCCAAGACAUUCCCGCUCACGCACAUCGCUGGUCACGUGCACCCAGGUGCUCUCGGGUGAGCCAAGUCAGCUGCUGAAUGGUUCAAUCUUUUAUAACAGAAAGAAGGGUGCUACAAGAGCAAUCUUUGAAGUGGGAGAUCACACAGCUCCCCUCCCAAUGUGGAGGCUGAAAUCACACAACUUUCUGUCCUAAAAGGCUGAAUUUACACAGAGGUCAGCUCAUUCCCCUGAUAAGGAAAUACGGCCUCCUGUUAAAGAAACUAGACCCCAGCCGAGGGCAGUUGUAAUUCACAGAGUUCUGUGGAUUGACUAUUGUAAACUGUGAAAGCAGAAGAUUACCGAAAUGAGGAUUAUUCCUAAGAACUUGGUGAGCAGUCAAGGCGGACGACCCUCCUGCACCCUAACAAUGGAAGCUGUGGGGUGAGCAAAGCUCACAUCUCUCUCCAGGAGAGCCGGGCAAAUAAUCUCCCUGUGCCUGUUAUGUUUACAGCAGAGAAUCCAAGCCCCAGGAUGGGCUAGAAACAAGUAGCCUUAGCAAAAAGCAACAUCUUCACCUACGUUCAAAAUGCUAAUUCUUUGACUUAUGACGUAUUUUAAAAUGCAUGUAACCAGGUUAAAAAGAUGUGUUAGAUGUGGCUAAAAUUCCUGCAUGCUCAAGCUGAAAAAUGCCUAGGAUACGAGCUUAGAGAUUACAGAGUGUAUGCGACCGUCGCGAAGG